CAGAAAGGAGAACAGAUUUGAAUGAACAAUCAAAUGGACUUGUUAAACAUUUGCUAAGCAAAGCAGAAGAGGGAUGGAUCAAAGGUGACCCCAGAGGACACAUCUUGAUGACAGUCACUCAGAAGAUGAUCCUGGAAGACUGCCCUUCCAAACUUCACCCUCAUAACCAAUCUAGAAGGCACCCCAAAUUGUUGGUAUAGAUAAUCCCAGAUUACCUGGAGGUUCCUUAAUUGUUUCCUUGGAUGAUAUGUUGCCUCAAAGACACAAAAAUACUCAUUUCAGCAUAAAAUGAGUUUUUACCCUCUUACCUCAAGAAUCAUACCCACACACUGAUGAGAACAAGGGUGAAAGCCAGCCAAUGCAGGAAUGGCACCUGACUUAGCAAAGUUAAGACUACAGGUCGUACCAAGGCUCAUAUAGUUGGUGGCACCAAGCAUUUAGGAAAAGGGAGUGAGGA
rnacentral:lncRNA from 1 species